AUCUGGGAUUUUGCUCUCUCUUGAGCGAUCUGUUAAACUAAUUGGAGGCAUUGUGUGCAUUUCCAGGCUGGUUUGUUUAUUGGAAAAGGAGUAAAGACAACGAGAGCCAAUGCUGAGGAUCCCAGGGAGCAUCCCACUGUUGAUAAUGCCAGGUUUUGCCCACAUUAAGAUGCUGAUCCUGAAAAGCCAUGAGUUCCUGCCAUGAUUGAUGGUCUUAUUGCACUUAAAAAUAAUGACAUGGGGCCUGGGCCAGAGGUGGUGACAUUAUUUUCCACAACUGAAGUGAUGGGACUUUCCUGACAGACGACAGCUCCAGCCUGGAGGUUGCACACUCCAGUUUAGUUAGAGAAAGCAGCAACUUUGGCUCCCAGGGUGGCCAAAACAGCUACUGGGGAAAAGGGGGAAAAUGGAUAACACAGAACACUGCCCAGAAACAAAACAUUCCCUGUCCAUGGAUUCCAGACUUAUGAUGGGUCUGUCAGGAUGGCAAGAUGCACUUUCAGGAAGUUCACCCCAAGUGUUGACAGAUACUCAAGAGCCAUGAGGUUCUUCAUGAAAACCCCUGCCAGGUCAGCCCCCAGAGGAACAUGACAGAGAUCCUGAUGGAGAAAAGUGUAAGUAAGAGAAGCAGAAAUGUUUGCUGUUGGAUGUGAAAGGUUAUGAAGUUUUUAGCAGUGGUGAG
rnacentral:lncRNA from 12 species